CGCGCGGCGCCGCACAUGCGCCGUGCGCCCCUCGAGGCGCCGGUCCGGCCGGCGCGGCUUCCGCGCCCCCACCCCCCUGGGUCGCAGACCGCGUUCUGCCGCACAUGCGCUCUGGAAGCCUCGGGGGAUGGGGGGGUGCGACUGGCGCCGCCGCCGCCGCCGCCGCCCGGGCUUUUGCCGCGCUCUCCGGGCACGGCGGGGGCGCACUCUGACCCUCAGGGAAAACCACGCGGAAAAUGGCGCCUUAAAGUGCCCGCGCCCACCUUUCCGAAGUGCGCGGCCCAGUGCACGGGCGUCCAGCCGUAGAAGGAGUCCUCCGCGGCCAGAGUGGCUGUCUAGCUCAGAAAUAGAGUGUUCACCUCGCUGGCUUGAAGCUGUGACUUUGGUACCCAGAACUACCAAAAUGCAUGCUAAAAAUAGAAGUCUCUGGAGCUCUCAGUUUUGAGUCUGCUCCUGCGUGUGUCACUGGUGCUUCUCAGGACCUCCUCUCUGGCCCUUGACCUGGUGACCCUGGGAGAUCACCCCUUCAUCCAAGAUGUAAGACAGCCCUGUCAGGGUUGGUUCUUGUUUGUUUGUUUGUUUGUUAUUAGGGAAGAGGAGCCUCAGGUGAGAAAAAUGCCCCCAAGAAAUUGUAGAUAAGUCUGUUGGGCAUUCGUUUUCCUGAUGAAUGAAUGAUGUGGGCAGGUCCAGCCUCCAAGGGACAGUGCCACCCCGUUCUGGUGGGUUUGAGUUCUAUAAGGAGCAGGCUAAACAAGUCAUGGGGAGCAAGCCAGUAAGCAGCACCCCUCUAUGGCCUCAGCUUUAUUUCCUGCCUCCAGGUUCCUGCAUUGCCUUCCUGCCCUGACUUCCUCAGUGAUGGAUGUGACCUUAGAGUUGUGAGCUAAAUAAACCCUUUCCUCCCAGGUUGUUUUUCGUCUUGGUGUUCAUCACAGCAACAGACUCUUAAGACAGUUUCUUUCUUAGUUUGUUUCAUGUAGCAGAGAGCAAUUUAUAACCUUGCUCAGUGCCUUACACAGACAGGGUUUGAGUUUACUAGCCAGGACUUGUGACUCUACAGAAACUAAAAUAACUAGAGAGCAGUGUGUCGGCCCAGACGGUCCUUGGUGUCUUUUGGUUGGCCACUCUUCACUCCUGCAAGCCUUUCUCCCAGCACGCAUCCCUGGAGCAAUGAAAGAGAACACAGGCAAAAGGAGGGUUCCCUGCCCAAAUGCCUGCUAAAUGGGGCGUGGACUGAAAUACGUGAUUGGAGCAGCACCUGAUCUAGAUUUACUCCAUUCGAGGGGCCAGUUGUCAGGGUGGAAAGAGUCAGCACUGUGCUUGUGCAGGUAAACCAUCUGAUGCUGGGAGCAACACCAUACUGGACUCAGUGGACUGAGCGGGACACAGUUGACGGCACCCUGGAUGUGGGACGUUGUGAACUGAGGUUUUCAGGAAAGGCAGCAUUCGUGCUACCAUUGUGUUUCCUUCUGGGCUGCUGACUGAUGAGGACCUCCAUGGCUGUGGAAAGCUGGAAUGCGGCAGGUAAAUACCCCCCUCUGUAAAUCGGCUCAACAUCCUUGUAACUAUCUGAUGAAACCCCUUUUUAAUUAUGCCAACAGAUCAACCCACAGUCUGAGAAUGUCAUCGGGUCGCACCUGAGUUCUGUAGCAGUGGCUUGACUGAUUUGCCUUUCUACCCAAUGCUUUCCACUAAUAUAUUUGAAAAUCAACUCUAGUUAUGACACUGAUCUGUUACUACGUCUACCACAUUGAAACAGUGUUUGAUGUACCAUGAAUCCGAGUUCCUGGACCAUGGCUACUUAAAAUUGGCCCUGGAAUAAAUGACCUCUUAUGCCCUUU